CAGCGGGGUGGGGGUCGGGGAAAACGCGGUUAAAGCGCAAGCGCAGAAGAGGCCGCUCCCGGUCGUUGGGACUAGAGCUGUGGGUGCCUUGGUGUCCUUGCACACCCGGGGGUUUUGACACCGUCUGUGCGUGUUUCUGUAUACGUACACGUGCGGAUUUACAUUAAUAUGCGGCAUAAGUACUGCCCAAUUUGUCCUUCCUCUAGCCGUCCCCACUUAACGCUGAGAGAAGCAUUUCUAGGCAUGGUUCACGCUUCUUGCAUUUUUUUUUUCUUUGAACUGAAAACGAAAGAAACUCCUCGUUUCUCGAGUGGUUUCUGUAGCGGGGCUGAAACCGGAACGCCCAGCCUCUUUCUCUCGGUGAGGUGGGUGAGUCAGUAGUCCGCCCAUUUUUCACCCUGGGAACGAAGGCCAGCGAAGAGGUAAGACCAAACAGGUGAGGGACGCGGUCCCUUACUUUGUAGACAACAAGCCCGCGGCCGGUCUGCCCGAUCCCGAACCGCCUUUGCACCCACUGGCAUUCUCUCAAGGUGCUCUAAGAUUGUUCUAGCAUUUCUCUGGGCGAUCUGGCAGGAAGUGCGGUUCUGAAAUGACUGGAGAAAUCAACACUCAAAUCUGUCUCAUUCCCCCAAACACGGGGGCACCUAGAGCUGUUCAAAAAAUGUGCCAAUUCCUUACACAACCUCGAGUCUCAUUUUAUUACGCCAUCACUUCCUCGGGGCCUUCCCGCGGGGGGAGUGUGCGCUGCACCCCAAAGUGACCGAUACUGCCUGAGGGAUUUUAAAGUUCUUGGUCUACUGCAGAGUCCUGUAAAGUGUUAAAAUACCCAAGACCCUAAGUGCUCGCUUCCGCAGGCCGGGCGGGACUUGAGACCCGGCGGUAGGAGGGGCGCGCACUGCAGGCGGAAGCGCGCCCCAGGUGCGUGGAGGCUGACUGGGUUGCCGGCCUAGAGGCCCAGAGCGCCUCGGGCUUUUUGCUCUGAGUAGUGUGUUUUCCCACGCCUCCAGCUUUGGAGCCGAAAGACUUCUCUCCAAAGGGCUUUUUGUGCAAGGACUCUUCUACAAAUAAAAUGCACUUGUUAGGAAGAAGAAUUUCUGUUGGCAGUACAAGGAAGGAAGAACAGUUUUGCCUUCACUUGGACUUUGACCAAAGGACAUUAGAGGCCUUGGCAUGAGACCCAAAUGAAGGGAACCCUAAUUACAGAAACCAGUCAAAUACUUCACUCAAGGGUCUAUAUGCUCUGAGAGUCUGGGAAGAGAGUACAGUGCAAAUGAAGAGAACCAGAUUUCCAACGCUUUGGUGAGGGAGGGUGAGAAAUGGAAGGAGAUGAGGAGUUGCAGAAACAUACAUCAGUCUCAACAAAACUGGUGCAUGGCAAGGAAGAAUCCGGUUUUACUAGCCGUCAUUGACAUGCCUGUGUGUGUGCUUGUUUAUGUUUAGGUAAGCCUGGCCUCCCCCUCACUAGAGUCAGCAGACAUGGAGAAAGUGGUCAACUCCAUGUGGAGCUGUGUACCACAUGGAGCUGACCAGCAGCGACCUGCUGAGGGCACUGUAGGGGCCAGAAUCCAAUUUAUUUUGUUUCCUGCUCCCAGGGCGAGUCCUCCCAGAGGGCAUUGUUUCCUCACUUACACCAGGGCUCCCUAUAGCAUCUUCUCUGCCCAUGUCACUAGUUAUUUGAGUGAGUCUUGAGAGAAAGCAAAAGGGAGGGACAAAGGGGUCAAAGUGAUGAAAAAUGGAAGAUGCGAAUUUAUAUGUGUUCCUUCUUUUCACUAGAAUGUCACUUCUUGAUGUCGUCUGUUUCAUUGUACCCAUUUAUGAGCAAGGACUGAGUUCCCUCUACACGAGACCAUAUGGAAGACUGAACCAGGAAGAGGUAUUUCCGCUGAGGCGAUGCAUACAAACCAUUAUGCAAAUUGAACGCACUCAGAACAUGGUUUCCCCACAUAGUGCUGAAUUUUCUAGAAGACUCAUCAUGAAAAGCGGCCUCACUGAUGCUUACAUUAGCACUGAUGACCUAGUCCAGGUGUCUGGCCUCACAGAUGAGGAAAUGCAAGACCUCAAGGGGGUAAAAUCCCUUCAUCCUUACCUUACACCACUGCCUGCUAAGACACCCCAAAGUGCCUUCCAUCUGUGCAAAUGAAGUCUCUAGGAGAUGCCUCGGA